rnacentral:rRNA from 1 species
UGAGGAAUCUUGCACAAUGGGGGCAACCCUGAUGCAGCGACGCCGCGUGCGGGAUGAAGGCCUUCGGGUCGUAAACCGCUUUUCUGGGGGAAGAGGAAGGACGGUACCCCAGGAAUAAGUCCCGGCUAACUACGUGCCAGCAGCCGCGGUAAAACGUAGGGGGCGAGCGUUAUCCGGAAUCACUGGGCGUAAAGGGCGUCUAGGCGGCCGAUUAAGUCUCGCGUGAAAGCUCCCGGCUCAACUGGGAGAGGGCGCGGGAAACUGGUGGGCUAGAGACUCGGAGGGGGGUGUGGAAUUCCCGGUGGAGUGGUGAAAUGCGUUGAGAUCGGGAGGAACACCCGUGGCGAAGGCGGCACCCUGGCCGAGGUCUGACGCUGAAGCGCGACAGCGUGGGGAGCGAACGGG